rnacentral:other from 1 species
AGGCAUCUGCGGGGUUCGACAGGUAGCCAAUAUCCCCGGGGCCGAUAAUCAGUCCUCUUAGGGAGCUGUCCCUGAUCUUGGCCGUGGCCUUGGUCAUAUGGCGCCCACCUGCUUUGUGCAGGCCGCGGAGGAAGCGCCACCACCGGCCAUUGUGGAUCCUUC